GAAAUGCGAUAAGUAAUGUGAAUUGCAGAAUUCAGUGAAUCAUCGAAUCUUUGAACGCACAUUGCGCCCGCCAGCACUCUGGCGGGCAUGCCUGUUCGAGCGUCAUUUCAACCCUCAGAACCCCUUGCUGGAUCUGGCGUUGGGGAUUGGCAUCCAGCCAGCCCCGAAAUCUAGUGGCGGUCCCUCCGCGACCUCCCCUGUGCAGUAGCGAUACCUCGCAGCGGGACAGCGGUCUGACCACGCCGUAAAACCCCCAACUUCUCAAGGUUGACCUCGAAUCAGGUAGGAAUACCCGCCGAACUUAAGC
rnacentral:misc_RNA from 1 species